UAUAAAACAGGAAAACAGGGCGCACUUUACACAAAAAUGUGGGAAAUCCAAGCACCUACGUUUAGCAAAAGCAAUCACUGCUCAUGGGACAGAGUAGCAUAAAAGAUGCAGUUCAGAAGCACUAUCUGGAGGAGACUGGCAAACAGGGUCGUGAAGAGACCACCAUUCUCUGUGAAACUGGUACUAACCAGUUAGACAGCCAACCACAGAUAGGGGCCACAUCAAUGAUA